AUUGAACGCUGGCGGCAUGCUUUACACAUGCAAGUCGAACGGCAGCGCGGGGGCAACCCUGGCGGCGAGUGGCGAACGGGUGAGUAAUGCAUCGGAACGUAUCCUGUAAUGGGGGAUAACGUAGCGAAAGUUACGCUAAUACCGCAUACGCUCGAGAGAGGAAAGUGGGGGAUCGCAAAACCUCACGUUAUAGGAGCGGCCGAUGUCCGAUUAGCUAGUUGGUGGGUAAAGGCCUACCAAGGCGACGAUCGGUAGCUGGUCUGAGAGGAUGAUCAGCCACACUGGGACUGAGACACGGCCCAGACUCCUACGGGAGGCAGCAGUGGGGAAUUUUGGACAAUGGGCGAAAGCCUGAUCCAGCCAUGCCGCGUGCGGGAAG
rnacentral:rRNA from 1 species